rnacentral:lncRNA from 1 species
GAGAUUCUCCACUGUGUUCUGACCACGGUGGAGGUGCUGAGCCGCUGGUAACGUUCCAGGAGGAAUCAGGCACCAAGGAGAAGGCGAUCAGCUUUGUGGCGAGAGCUGGGCGUUCACUGCCUGCCGGCUGCCAGAGGCCAUCAGGGCAGAAGUUUCAGUUCAUGAGAUUUCCUGCAGCAGAGAGUACUUUAAAAGAGGAAGAGUUCCCUGUGACUUGGGCCUGCCGUGUGUACAGCACUUGUUCCUCUCUCAACUCUGCCUGCAGUUGAACACAAAGACCUGGGGGAGACUCCCACAUCCUUCGGGGAGGAGAAAGGAGGCGGCGGCAGAGCAGAUUAAAGGAACUUGGGGCUUGUGGCCUUCCCGAGCCGGGCCGCCCGCGAGGGCCGAGGGAAUUAAAGCCCCGGGCCGUGAGAUGAGGCUCUGCUGCCGCCGCCGCCGCCGCUGCUGACACUCAGGUUCCGGACCGUCCGCUGCCCUUUGUGCCGCACGCACAUGUGUCUGUUGGGCGCAUCCGGAGGCGCGCAGACGAGCAUCCACCACGGCCGCCGGGGAGAGAGCGCCCGCCAUGCCCACGGAGAGCCUACAGACAGGUAGCAUGGUGAAGCCGGUCAGCCCCGCCGGCACCUUCACGUCGGCGGUGCCGCUGCGCAUCCUCAACAAGGGGCCCGACUACUUUCGCCGGCAGGCCGAGCCCAACCCCAAGAGACUUAGCGCCGUGGAGCGGCUGGAGGCCGACAAGGCCAAGUAUGUCAAGAGCCAGGAGGUCAUCAACGCCAAGCAGGAGCCUGUGAAGCCGGCCGUGCUGGCCAAGCCCCCGGUGUGCCCGGCCGCCAAGCGCGCGCU